rnacentral:rRNA from 1 species
AGUAGUUGAUCAGUCGGCUCAGGACGAACGCUGGCGGCGUGGCUUAACACAUGCAAGUCGAACGGUGAGGAGGAGCUUGCUCCUCCGAUCAGUGGCGAACGGGUGAGUAACACGUGAGUAACCUGCCCCAGACCCUGGGAUAACAGUUGGAAACAGCUGCUAAUACCGGAUACGAGACGGAGAGGCAUCUCUACCGUCUGGAAAGAUUUAUCGGUCUGGGAUGGACUCGCGGCCUAUCAGCUUGUUGGUGAGGUAAAGGCUCACCAAGGCGACGACGGGUAGCCGGCCUGAGAGGGCGACCGGCCACACUGGGACUGAGACACGGCCCAGACUCCUACGGGAGGCAGCAGUGGGGAAUGUUGCACAAUGGGCGAAAGCCUGAUGCAGCGACGCCGCGUGAGGGAUGACGGCCUUCGGGUUGUAAACCUCUUUCAGCAGGGAAGAAGCGAAAGUGACGGUACCUGCAGAAGAAGCACCGGCUAACUACGUG